rnacentral:lncRNA from 1 species
GCCUGUGCGACAGAGUGAGACUCCGUCUCAAGAAAAGAAAAGAAAAAGGAAACUGCAACGAUGAACAGAUCAGAAUAGGCGACAUGCACUGAACAAGGUAAAAAAGACAGAAAAUUAUCUGGAGAGGUGGCCGGAGGACACAUCAAGAAGCGCCUUGUACAUUGAAUCAGGCAACAUCUCAUCCUAUAAAAUAAAAUGGGUUUUCCGAUGAGCUGAGAAGACGAGCCUGGCUUUAUAGGCAGAAAAGGGCUGAAGAAAACAGAAACAGAGAACAAAAAGCAGAUGCUUUGUUUCAAGGAUCCGGUUUUGUUCAGGUGUUCACACGAAUCAUGAGAUUCACAGGAAUGGGAAGCCGAACUCAUUCCCAGCUCCAGAAGUGGAUGCUGAUAUUUUAAACCAAUCACCAGAUGCCAUUCCUUUGAUGAUGAUGAUUAAUUUGUCCAGGGGCAGGUAUGAGACCCAACUUGAACUGGUCAGACAGAAGGGAAGGACAUAAUUCCAAAUGGACACCUGUUCUCUCUCCUACCAGUGAGGAAAAGGAAACGAGAUGUCCAGCUGUUGGCCCCAGUCAUAAGAGGAAGCUGAUGCUGCGGAUGAAGAGUGGAGCAAUGGAAAUAAUCUGGGGUCCAGUAACAUUGCUAAACUACUGAUUCAACUAGCCUUUCUUUUUUUCUUUUCUUUUUCUUUCUUUUCUUUUUUCUUUCUUUUUUUUUUUUUUUAAG